GCCGGCUAUGUCCUGGUAAGAUUUCAGGAUCUUGUUCCUGCUCCCCCUGCUGCGGCUAUCAAUGAGAACAGAUGUCUCGAACAGAAAUGUUGCACCGGGAAUGCAUUUUCACGGCAACCUGCCGAGAAAGCGGACCACACCUGGACGCAUCUGGACUGGGGAGGAAUACCUUCUUCUGGGCCCCAUUCCUCUGCAACGACAAUCUUUACAGUAUUUAACAGGUUGGGGAAGAAUUUUUAAAACCUAACACCAGCUGUGUAUGGCCAGCCUUCCAGUACAUCCUUUAAGUGGGCGACACUCAACUUCCUGGACAGCUCUUCUAUUUUGAACUUCGAGUUGGAGAACGAUUGAUUGAUUGAAGAAGAAAGAAGAAACAUUUCAAAGAAUCUCACAAGUCCAACUUGCAAAGCUGCUCCAUCGGAUGGAUUAAGUGGGAAGAUCCAGGACCAGCAAGAGCCAACUGGGCCAGCUAGGAACCCACUUGGGAACCCAGACAUUUGAAACAAUCAAGAAAAAUUGUAAAGAAUGACAACAGAACCCGAAAAGCCAGAGUCUGUCUGACACCAGAGAGUCUGCAUCUGGACUGGGCGUCCUAAACCAUUAAAUGACUUAAAAGAGUUAACUGUAGACCAUCAUUCUCGACUCAAGAGAUAGCCAAGAAUAUGAUGAAAAUUAAAUUAUUCAUUUGAGAGCAGCAUGGUGGACUAGUUAUUAGCAAAUCUGCCUCAUAGUCCAGAGGUUCUGAGGUAUUUUUUUAGGGAGUUCAAAAACAUGAAUGUUAGGUUCAUUGAAUACAAUAAAUUCUCUGUCUGUGUGAAUUUGAGAAUUAAUGCUUGUUUGUCCAAAUGUGCCCUGAGAUCGCAUGGGGACCAGUCCAGAGUUUACCCUGCUUCUUGCCCCAAAGUCAGAUGGGUUAGGAUCCGGAUUUUAACUAAACACCCAUCUUCCUCAAUCGGUGACCUCACUUCAAAAAUGCUAUUAUUAAUAUUCAAACAUGAGAGACUUAAGUGCUGAGCCCAUUUGAAAUUGUUUGCUAACCAAAACAGGAGUAGUUACCCAAACAUGUAAAUAAUCUCUGAGAAGAAUUCAAAUCAAGUUCAGAGUUGCUCGCACAGAAUUAGCGAUUCUUUUAUGCUUUGUUGAACUAUCGCGUCACAAUAUUACAUGUUUUUUUUCACAAUAAUCUUCAUUAUUCCGUUUUAAACUUUGCUUUCAUUGGACAUGUACUGGAGUACACCAGUAACAUUGUUUGAUAA